rnacentral:rRNA from 1 species
AUUGAACGCUGGCGGCAGGCCUAACACAUGCAAGUCGAGCGGAUGAAGGGAGCUUGCUCCUGGUUUCAGCGGCGGACGGGUGAGUAAUGCCUAUGAAUCUGCCUGGUAGUGGGGUAUAACGUCCGGAAACGGGCGCUAAUACCGCAUACGUCCUGAUGGAGAAAGUGGGGGAUCUUUGGACCUCACGCUAUCAGAUGAGCCUAGGUCGGAUUAGCUAGUUGGUGGGGUAAAGGCCUACCAAGGCGACGAUCCGUAACUGGUCUGAGAGGAUGAUCAGUUACACUGGAACUGAGACACGGUCCAGACUCCUACGGGAGGCAGCAGUGGGGAAUAUUGGACAAUGGGCGAAAGCCUGAUACAGCCAUGCCGCGUGUGUGACGAAGGUCUUCGGAUUGUAAAGCACUUUAAGUUGGGAGGAAGGGCAGUAAGUUAAUACCUUGCUGUUUUGACGUUACCAACAGAAUAAGCACCGGCUAACUUCGUG